GACGAACGCUGGCGGCGUGCCUAAUACAUGCAAGUCGAGCGAAGUUUUUCUGGUGCUUGCACUAGAAAAACUUAGCGGCGAACGGGUGAGUAACACGUAAAGAACCUGCCUCAUAGACUGGGACAACUAUUGGAAACGAUAGCUAAUACCGGAUAACAGUAUUUCUCGCAUGAGAGAUAUUUAAAAGUUGGUUAUGCUAACACUAUGAGAUGGCUUUGCGGUGCAUUAGCUAGUUGGUGGGGUAAAGGCCCACCAAGGCGACGAUGCAUAGCCGACCUGAGAGGGUGAUCGGCCACACUGGGACUGAGACACGGCCCAGACUCCUACGGGAGGCAGCAGUAGAGAAUCUUCCGCAAUGGGCGAAAGCCUGACGGAGCAACGCCGCGUGAGUGAAGAAGGAUUUCGGUUCGUAAAGCUCUGUUGUUAGGGAAGAAUGGAUAUGUAGUAACUAUACAUGUAAGAGACGGUACCUAACCAGAAAGCCACGGCUAACUACGUG
rnacentral:rRNA from 1 species